UGUAAACCGAAGCUGCGGCAAUGUUCUUGGAACAUUGGGUAGGGGAGCGUUCUGUAAGCCGUUGAAGGUGUGUUGUAAAGCAUGCUGGAGGUAUCAGAAGUGCGAAUGCUGACAUGAGUAACGACAAGGGGGGUGAAAAACCUCCCCGCCGGAAGACCAAGGGUUCCUGUCCAACGUUAAUCGGGGCAGGGUGAGUCGACCCCUAAGGCGAGGCCGAAAGGCGUAGUCGAUGGGAAACGGGUUAAUAUUCCCGUACUCGAUCAAAUUGCGAUGGGGGGACGGAGAAGGCUAGGUGGGCCUGGCGACGGUUGUCCAGGUUCAAGUGCGUAGGCUGAGUGUUUAGGUAAAUCCGGACACUCGAUAGGCUGAGACACGACGUCGAGCUGCUACGGCAGUGAAGUCAUUGAUGCCAUGCUUCCAGGAAAAGCCUCUAAGCUUCAGAUUUGAUGGAAUCGUACCCCAAACCGACACAGGUGGUCGGGUAGAGAAUACCAAGGCGCUUGAGAGAACUCGGGUGAAG
rnacentral:rRNA from 1 species